rnacentral:rRNA from 1 species
CUACCCUUGACAUGUCAGGAAUUCUUGAGAGAUUGAGAAGUGCCCGAAAGGGAACCUGAACACAGGUGCUGCAUGGCUGUCGUCAGCUCGUGUCGUGAGAUGUUGGGUUAAGUCCCGCAACGAGCGCAACCCUUGCCAAUAGUUGCCAUCAUUUAGUUGGGCACUCUAUUGGGACUGCCGGUGACAAACCGGAGGAAGGUGGGGAUGACGUCAAGUCCUCAUGGCCCUUAUGGGUAGGGCUUCACACGUCAUACAAUGGUCGGUACAGAGGGUUGCCAAGCCGCGAGGUGGAGCCAAUCCCAGAAAGCCGAUCGUAGUCCGGAUCGCAGUCUGCAACUCGACUGCGUGAAGUCGGAAUCGCUAGUAAUCGCGGAUCAGCAUGUCGCGGUGAAUACGUUCCC